rnacentral:piRNA from 1 species
GAACUAUUAACCGAAGGACGGAGAUCGAAG